rnacentral:rRNA from 1 species
AUGCCGUUCGGCUUGACGAAUGCCCCGACCACCUUCCAGUGCUUGAUGAACGCCAUCUUCGCCAAGUACGUGCAUAAAUUUGUAAUCAUUUUCCUUGACGACAUCUUAAUCUUCAGUGAGACCCUGGAGCAUCUCCGCAUCGUCCUCGACCUGCUACGGGCACAUCAGUUGUAUGCCAAGGAAUCCAAAUGCUCCUUUGCACAAGACAGCAUCUCUUACCUCGGCCACAUCAUUUCCAAGGACGGUGUGGCCACGGAUCCGGAGAAGACACAGGCCAUGCUGGCAUGGCCUACCCCGACCACGGCCACCGAGCUCCGCGGCUUCCUCGGCCUCACGGGCUACUACCGCAAGUUCAUCGCGCAUUAUGCAUCAUUGCCAAGCCGCUGA